UAGAAAUAAUACAUAAAUUAUGAUGUAACUUGUACAUUGGCAUGUCUUCUUUUAGUUUUUUUUCCUUUUAAUGGUGGUAUUAGUACCAUGUUGUGCUCCUUCCAUUGGGGGAAGGAAGACUAAGAAAGAUAUGCCAUUUUGGUUAAUAAAUACGCUUUUUAUCAUAUCCUUGAAUAUAUUUGUCUCAAUAUUUAUUUGUCUUUACUUC
rnacentral:lncRNA from 1 species